rfam:Oryza sativa Japonica Group DNA, chromosome 2, cultivar: Nipponbare, complete sequence.
AAUAAGUGCAAUUUUAGCACUGUUCAUGUUCAACGUUUGACCGUUCGUCUUAUUUUGAAAAAGAUUAUGAUUAGUAUUUUUAUUAUUAUUAGAUGAUAAAACAUGAAUAGUAUUUUAUGUGUGACUAAUUUUUUUAAUACUUUUCAUAAAUUUUUCAAAUAAGACGGAUGGUCAAAGCGCUAAGCACGGAUAUCUAUAGCUGCACUUAUU